AGAGUUUGAUCAUGGCUCAGGAUGAACGCUGGCGGCGUGCUUAACACAUGCAAGUCGAACGAAGCACUUUAUUUGAUUUCUUCGGAAUGAAGAUUUUGUGACUGAGUGGCGGACGGGUGAGUAACGCGUGGGUAACCUGCCUCAUACAGGGGGAUAACAGUUGGAAACGACUGCUAAUACCGCAUGAGCGCACAGGGUCGCAUGACCUGGUGUGAAAAACUCCGGUGGUAUGAGAUGGACCCGCGUCCGAUUAGCUAGUUGGUGAGGUAACGGCCCACCAAGGCAACGAUCGGUAGCCGGACUGAGAGGUUGAACGGCCACAUUGGGACUGAGACACGGCCCAGACUCCUACGGGAGGCAGCAGUGGGGAAUAUUGCACAAUGGGGGAAACCCUGAUGCAGCGACGCCGCGUGGAGGAAGAAGGUCUUCGGAUUGUAAACUCCUGUUGUUGAGGAAGAUAAUGACGGUACUCAACAAGGAAGUGACGGCUAACUACGUGCCAGCAGCCGCGAUAAAACGUAGGUCACAAGCGUUGUCCGGAAUUACUGGGUGUAAAGGGAGCGCAGGCGGGCGAUCAAGUUGGAAGUGAAAUCCAUGGGCUCAACCCAUGAACUGCUUUCAAAACUGAUUGUCUGAGUAGUGCAGAGGUAGGCGGAAUUCCCGGUGUAGCGGUGGAAUGCGUAGAUAUCGGGAGGAACACCAGUGGCGAAGGCGGCCUACUGGGCACCAACUGACGCUGAGGCUCGAAAGUGUGGGUAGCAAACAGGAUUAGAUACCCUGGUAGUCCACACCGUAAACGAUGAUUACUAGGUGUUGGAGGACUGACCCCUUCAGUGCCGCAGUUAACACAAUAAGUAAUCCACCUGGGGAGUACGACCGCAAGGUUGAAACUCAAAGGAAUUGACGGGGGCCCGCACAAGCAGUGGAGUAUGUGGUUUAAUUCGACGCAACGCGAAGAACCUUACCAAGUCUUGACAUCCUGCGACGGACAUAGAAAUAUGUUUUUCCUUCGGGACGCAGAGACAGGUGGUGCAUGGUUGUCGUCAGCUCGUGACGUGAGAUGUUGGGUUAAGUCCCGCAACGAGCGCAACCCUUAUGGUCAGUUACUACGCAAGAGGACUCUGGCCAGACUGCCGUUGACAAAACGGAGGAAGGUGGGGAUGACGUCAAAUCAUCAUGCCCUUUAUGACUUGGGCUACACACGUACUACAAUGGCGUUAAACAAAGAGAAGCAAGACCGCGAGGUGGAGCAAAACUCAGAAACAACGUCUCAGUUCGGACUGCAGGCUGCAACUCGCCUGCACGAAGUCGGAAUUGCUAGUAAUCGCAGAUCAGCAUGCUGCGGUGAAUGCGUUCCCGGGCCUUGUACACACCGCCCGUCACACCAUGAGAGCCGGGGGGACCCGAAGUCGGUAGUUUAACCGCAAGGAGGACGCCGCCGAAGGUAAAACUGGUGAUUGGGGUGAAGUCGUAACAAGGUA
rnacentral:rRNA from 1 species